rnacentral:rRNA from 1 species
UACGUAGGGUGCGAGCGUUAAUCGGAAUUACUGGGCGUAAAGCGUGCGCAGGCGGUUUUGUAAGCCAGAUGUGAAAUCCCCGGGCUUAACCUGGGAAUGGCAUUUGGGACUGCAAGGCUGGAGUUUGGCAGAGGAGACUGGAAUUCCUGGUGUAGCAGUGAAAUGCGCAGAUAUCAGGAAGAACACCAAUGGCGAAGGCAGCUCUCUGGGACGGUACUGACGCUGAGACGCGAAAGCGUGGGGGAGCGAACAGG